rfam:Schistosoma rodhaini strain Burundi genome assembly, scaffold: SROB_scaffold0000224
GCACUGCUGAGGAGUCCCACAACAGGACGAAACGGUUGUUCAGUGC